rnacentral:rRNA from 1 species
UGCUGACGACCGGCGCACGGGUGCGUAACGCGUAUGCAACCUACCUCAUACUGGAGGAUAGCCCCUGGAAACGGGGAUUAAUACUCCAUAGUAUCACGAAUUCGCAUGUUUUUGUGAUUAAAGUUUUUCGGUAUGAGAUGGGCAUGCGUCCCAUUAGCUUGUUGGUGAGGUAACGGCUCACCAAGGCAACGAUGGGUAGGGGGCCUGAGAGGGUGGUCCCCCACACUGGUACUGAGACACGGACCAGACUCCUACGGGAGGCAGCAGUGAGGAAUAUUGGUCAAUGGAGGCAACUCUGAACCAGCCAUGCCGCGUGAAGGAUGACGGCCCUAUGGGUUGUAAACUUCUUUUAUAGAGGAAGAAACUUGUCUACGUGUAGACAACUGACGGUACUCUACGAAUAAGGAUCGGCUAACUCCGUGCCAGCAGCCGCGGUAAUACGGAGGAUCCAAGCGUUAUCCGGAUUCAUUGGGUUUAAAGGGUCCGUAGGCGGGUCUUUAAGUCAGUGGUGAAAGCCGACAGCUCAACUGUCGAACUGCCAUUGAUACUGGAGACCUUGAGUACAAAUGAAGUAGGCGGAAUGAGUCAUGUAGCGGUGAAAUGCAUAGAUAUGACUCAGAACACCGAUUGCGAAGGCAGCUUACUAACAUGUAACUGACGCUGAGGGACGAAAGCGUGGGGAGCGAACAGGAUUAGAUACCCUGGUAGUCCACGCCGUAAACGAUCAUCACUCGCUGUUGGCGAUAUACUGUCAGCGGCCAAGCGAAAGUAUUAAGUGAUGCACCUGGG